AAUAAUGCAAUGAAAAGAUCACAGUAGAAAUCAUUGAAAUGCAGUAUCAGAGACUUAGUGGACGGUGAGAACUAAGGCAAUAAUGAAAUCGAAUUACAAUCUUGGAGCAUGUUCAAAUGAACCGGAAACAAUCCGUUAUCAAAUCAAGUGGUUAAAUCAAAACCUUUUUGAUCUAACAAGUUGGGUGGUACCGCGACUAUAAUCGUCCCUUCA
rnacentral:ncRNA from 1 species